GGGCCCGUGGUGUAAUCGGCAGCACUCUACCAUUGACAAGUAGCAGAGCGGGUUCGAAACCCGUCGGGUCCACCA
rnacentral:tRNA from 1 species